rnacentral:tRNA from 1 species
GCCCGGAUGGUGAAAUUGGUAGACACAAGGGACUUAAAAUCCCUCGCCGCAAGGCGUACGGGUUCGAUUCCCGUUCCGGGCACCA